UAGGUUGGACAUGUAGGAAAAAAAAAAGGAUAGGUACAUGAGUGUCUUCGCCAGUGGGUUUGGAAUCUGUAUCAUAUAUAACUUGGGGCAGGGGGGAGGAAAUGGGGGGAGGGGACUGAGAUAAUGGACGCCGGGGGCAGUGUCAAAUAUUGGCUUCUGCAAAAACUCAUCGUUGAUAUGCUGCUCGGAGGUAGGAGUUGAGACAUACUGAGGACAUAAUACUGAGUAUUAGCAUGAUGGAAGAAAUAUGGGAGGUUGAGAUAACUAAAUUAAAAAAUAAAAAAAUAGGUAUGGAAAAAACCUUUGUUGGGGAGACCCUUGCAUCAUCACCGACAGUUUGGACGUUUUGCUGCUUAUCUCCUUGGUCAGGUAGUUUUGUUUCAUCCUCAUCUACAGUGCCUGUAUAAAUCUCAGAAGGUAAGAUGUUCAAAGGUGCUGCCUCUCCAGAUCCCGUCUGGUCAGUGCUGUCAUGGAUAUAUGAAUUGUGGUCAGUGUUGUGGUGGACAGUUUUCUCUUCAGCUAAGUCGUCCUGAAAUCAGCGUAGUAAUGAUUGGUCCCAAAAAUCUGUAAAACAUACUAAAAAGGAGCCAAAUUUGAAUUUGAACUCACCUGUUCACUAAUGACCAUAUGUGCGAGUGGUCGGUGGGUGUCUUCUUUGUCCAUUUGGUGACUCCCAACCUCCAGAAAAGCAACAUCUCCUGAAAACUGAGAAAACAGAAUAGAAUGUGAGCUUCUGUCUGUUUUGGAAAAAAAAAAAACUAAAUAAAUGAGGAAAAAAAUCUAACCAUCGAUGUGGUGCUAUAUUUUGUCCAAUCAUGAUCACCACCCAAUAUGUCCAUAUCCUCGCUGUGAAGGACGUCAUCCGGAUGGUUGUCCUUAGGGGUUCCAUC
rnacentral:lncRNA from 1 species